UACAGAGGUCCCAAGCGUUGUUCGGAUUCACUGGGCGUAAAGGGUGCGUAGGUGGUGAAGUAAGUCGGGUGUGAAAUCCCGGAGCUCAACUCCGGAACUGCACUCGAAACUGCGCGGCUUGAGGUAGGUAGGGGAGAUCGGAAUUCCUGGUGUAGCGGUGGAAGUGCGCAGAUAUCAGGAGGAACACCGGUGGCGAAGGCGGAUCUCUGGGCCUUACCUGACGCUGAGACGCGAAAGCUAGGGAGCGAACAGG
rnacentral:rRNA from 1 species